UUUGCCUACGGGGCGCAGCAGUGAGGAAUAUUGGUCAAUGGACGAGAGUCUGAACCAGCCAAGUAGCGUGAAGGAUGACUGCCCUAUGGGUUGUAAACUUCUUUUAUAAAGGAAUAAAACGAGGCACGUGUGCCUUUUUGCAUGUACUUUAUGAAUAAGGAUCGGCUAACUCCGUGCCAGCAGCCGCGGUAAUACGGAGGAUCCGAGCGUUAUCCGGAUUUAUUGGGUUUAAAGGGUGCGUAGGCGGAAUAUCAAGUCAGCGGUAAAAAUUCGGGGCUCAACCCCGUCGUGCCGUUGAAACUGAU
rnacentral:rRNA from 1 species